rnacentral:rRNA from 1 species
CCUACGGGUGGCUGCAGUGAGGAAUAUUGGUCAAUGGGCGAGAGCCUGAACCAGCCAAGUCGCGUGAGGGAGUACUGCCCUAUGGGUUGUAAACCUCUUUUGUCGGGGAGCAAAAGCCGCACGUGUUCGGCUGCGGGAGUUACCGUAGAAAAAGCCACGGGUAACUUCGGGCCAGCAGCCGCGGUAAAACCGAGGAUGCGAGCGUUAUCCGGAUUUAUUGGGUUUAAAGGGUGCGCAGGCGGAUUUUUAAGUCAGCGGUAAAAUGGUGGGGCUCAACCCCAUCCCGCCGUUGAAACUGGGGAUCUAGAGUGUGCGAGAGGUAUGCGGAAUGCGUGGUGUAGCGGUGAAAUGCAUAGAUAUCACGCAGAACCCCGAUUGCGAAGGCAGCAUACCGGUGCACAACUGACGCUCAGGCACGAAAGCGUGGGUAUCGAACAGGAUUAGAUACCCUUGUAGUC